rnacentral:lncRNA from 1 species
CGGGCGGGGGAGCCCUUGGCCCAACUGGGGCCCUCCGCUGCUUCUGGAGGGUCUGGGCUCUCACCAGUCUCUUUGCCCCAGGUUUGGGGUCACGACGUGCCGUCAUCUUCGUCUCCUGGGGGUUUUGUGACCGCCUUUUUCAGGGGUUGACUGUUGGGCCACCUGAAACACACACAAACACACACAUGUGGAUGGUUAAGCACGUUGGAUAUUCACACACCCACAGGAAGCCCCCCGCUAACUCCUUGCCGGUGUGGUCAUGAGGAGACCUCACCACCAGUCGGUCAAAUCUGUGGAACACAAUGUGCUGUGCGCAUCCUCAGAUAUUGUGUGUUCCUCUGCCAUGAUUACCUAGUCCAAGAGUAAACUUCGCCUGCCACAGGGCCUGUGGCCUAGGUAUGGGGAGUUGAGCUUUCAACUCCAAACUAACAACUGAUUCUGGAGACUGGACUUAGGUCUAUUACGAUUCACUCCGGUAGAAGACACGAUGAUUCUAUCUCCCUUGACGGACAGAAUGAUCGAAGCCACAGGGCAUGGCAUUUGUCACCCUUUGGCAGGUCUGUUUGAAAUCUGGGAUAAGGGAUGCUUCCUGUCACAACUUGAAUCGCUACUCUUGCCAUUUCAUUAGGCGACUUCCAAACACAAAUUCAUAGAGAGAAGUUAUCUUCCUCUCUACCACACUAGCAGGUGAUGGUCUUUCCUGUUCUAUCUUUUUGGCUUUAGCUCCAGCCCCUCUUUAUUUAUUUUUCUGGUAUUUUACACGUGCCACACGAAUUCAUCUAAACAAACGGUGAAUAAGUGCCAUAUCGUAUCGACGUCUUACACCGCUGAAGGGCAAACCACCCUUUUUUCCAAAGUCCUUUUUCCAUUUACCCACCAAUUCAGCAUGCUGCAGUACAUUUCUUUUCACAUUCCCAUCUUGGUCUUCUCCCACACGUGGAGACGGAAAUGCUUUCUCGUUUUCUGUUCCAAGAAUUACUAGUAACGAGAACACAUCCUACCCCAUCAGCAAGGCCCAGUGUGAUCGGUUUCUCUCGGCGUCCUUUGUCUCUUCCCACCCACCCCUCAGGGACUGCGUGAAAAAAACAACUGUACAGUGAAACUAACCUGAAAUUACACGUCUACUUUCUUUCCCCGGCUGGCGCUGAGAUGGGCAGGUGCUGCAGCAGCCCGGCUGGAAGCGAUGCAGCAUCCAGGACGACGGAGGAAGGGGCAGAGAGGGACCUCUGCUUUCCAGGCUGCCUUUUAUACUGCCUCUGGUCACCUGACGUGGAACGUACCCUAACCUAAUCAGUUACAUGAGGCGCUUGGAAACCACCGUCAAUUGGACCGCACUGGGAAACACAGAUGAACAAAGUCAACACCGCUUUGUCCUGCAGUGCCUGGCUCCUUUUUCAGCUCGUCUUGCGACUCCAGUUUCCCUUCUCUAUAGUCACCCUGCUCGUCUUCCAUCAACUGGGUGCUCAGGACAGUGGCGUGGUGGAUCCGCCUGUACAGCCUGUGCUCCAGCGUCCUGCAGUCCACAGCUGUGUCCAGCCCUGACCCCGACUGCCGCUCUCGCCACCUCCAUUUUAUAGAUGAGGAAACCGAGGCCCAAGGGCUUAGGGAACCCUGCUCUGAAGCACAUAGUAGGGCUGCUGGGCUCAGACCCUCCCUCCCUGUGCUGAGGUGUCCUCCUCCUGCCUCAAGCCCCCCACGCCCCGAGCCCACCCU